rnacentral:rRNA from 1 species
UACGGAGGGGGCAAGCGUUGUUCGGAAUUACUGGGCGUAAAGGGCUCGUAGGCGGCCAACUAAGUCGGACGUGAAAUCCCCAGGCUCAACCUGGGAACUGCGUCCGAUACUGGAUGGCUUGAAUCCGGGAGAGGGAUGCAGAAUUCCAGGUGUAGCGGUGAAAUGCGUAGAUAUCUGGAGGAAUACCGGUGGCGAAGGCGGCAUCCUGGACCGGCAUUGACGCUGAGGAGCGAAAGCCAGGGGAGCAAACGGG